UACAGAGGGGGCAAGCGUUGUUCGGAAUUACUGGGCGUAAAGGGCGCGUAGGCGGCCUGUUAAGUCAGACGUGAAAUCCCCGGGCUCAACCCGGGAACUGCGUCUGAUACUGGUAGGCUUGAAUCCGGGAGAGGGAUGUGGAAUUCCAGGUGUAGCGGUGAAAUGCGUAGAUAUCUGGAGGAACACCGGUGGCGAAGGCGGCAUCCUGGACCGGUAUUGACGCUGAGGCGCGAAAGCCAGGGGAGCAAAUGGG
rnacentral:rRNA from 1 species